GAUGAACGCUGGCGGCGUGCCUAAUACAUGCAAGUCGAGCGAACAGACGAGUAGCUUGCUCCUCUGACGUUAGCGGCGGACGGGUGAGUAACACGUGGAUAACCUACCUAUAAGACUGGGAUAACUUCGGGAAACCGGAGCUAAUACCGGAUAAUAUAUUGAACCGCAUGGUUCAAUAGUGAAAGACGGUUUUGCUGUCACUUAUAGAUGGAUCCGCGCCGCAUUAGCUAGUUGGUAAGGUAACGGCUUACCAAGGCAACGAUGCGUAGCCGACCUGAGAGGGUGAUCGGCCACACUGGAACUGAGACACGGUCCAGACUCCGACGGGAGGCAGCAGUAGGGAAUCUUCCGCAAAGGGCGAAAGCUUGACGGAGCAACGCCGCGUGAGUGAUGAAGGUCUUCGGAUCGUAAAACUCUGUUAUUAGGGAAGAACAAAUGUGUAAGUAACUAUGCACGUCUUGACGGUACCUAAUCAGAAAGCCACGGCUAACUACGUG
rnacentral:rRNA from 1 species